rnacentral:pre_miRNA from 1 species
AGAACUUUUUGUUCUUUCUCUAAUAAAUCUGCCUUUCUUCAUUUACUGUCUUGGAACUCUUACCACUCUUUCUUUACUUACUGUUACAAGACAGUAAGGAAAGAAAGGCAGAUUUAUUAGAGAAAGUAGG